GAUGAAGAACGCAGCGAAAUGCGAUAAGUAAUGUGAAUUGCAGAAUUCAGUGAAUCAUCGAAUCUUUGAACGCACAUUGCGCCCCUUGGUAUUCCGAGGGGCAUGCCUGUUCGAGCGUCAUUAUAACCCCUCAAGCUCAGCUUGGUGUUGGGGCCUGCCGCACGGGCAGCCCUUAAAAUCAGUGGCGGUGCCAUCUGGCUCUAAGCGUAGUAAUUCUUCUCGCUAUAGAGUCCCGGUGGAUGCUUGCCAUUAACCCCCAAUUUUCUAUGGUUGACCUCGGAUCAGGCAGGGAUACCCGCUGAACUUAAGCAUAUCAAUAAGCGGAGGA
rnacentral:misc_RNA from 1 species